AACGCGAAGAACCUUACCGGGGCUUGACAUCCUCUGACCAUCUAGGAGACUAGGUUUCCGGGCAACCGGACAGAGAGACAGGUGCUGCAUGGCUGUCGUCAGCUCGUGCCGUGAGGUGUUGGGUUAAGUCCCGCAACGAGCGCAACCCUUGUCGUGUGUUGGUCGCAAGAUCUCUCACACGAGACCGCCGGUGACAAGCCGGAGGAAGGUGGGGAUGACGUCAAGUCAGCAUGGCCCUUACGUCCCGGGCUACACACGUGCUACAAUGGGAAGGACAGCGAGUCGCGAACCCGCGAGGGCAAGCUAAUCUCUUAAACCUUUCCUCAGUUCGGAUUGGAGGCUGCAACUCGCCUCCAUGAAGUCGGAAUCGCUAGUAACCGCAGAUCAGCUACGCUGCGGUGAAUACGUUCCCGGGCCUUGUA
rnacentral:rRNA from 1 species